rnacentral:rRNA from 1 species
GGACCCGCACAAGUAGUGGAGCAUGUGGUUUAAUUCGAAGAUACGCGCAGAACCUUACCAACACUUGACAUGUUCGUCGCGACUUUAAGAGAUUAAAGUUUUCGGUUCGGCCGGACGAAACACAGGUGCUGCAUGGCUGUCGUCAGCUCGUGUCGUGAGAUGUUGGUUAAGUCCCGCAACGAGCGCAACCCUCACUUUUAGUUGCCAUCAUUUAGUUGGGCACUCUGAAAGAACUGCCAGUGAUAAGCUGGAGGAAGGUGGGGAUGACGUCAAGUCCUCAUGGCCCUUACGUGUUGGGCUACACACGUGCUACAAUGGUAGAUACAGAGGGCAGCUAUCCCGCGAGGGAAUGCA